UGGAUGAUGUGGUUUAAUUCGAUGCAACGCGAAAAACCUUACCACCUUUGACAUGUACGGAAUCCUUUAGAGAUAGAGGAGUGCUCGAAAGAGAGCCGUAACACAGGUGCUGCAUGGCUGUCGUCAGCUCGUGUCGUGAGAUGUUGGGUUAAGCCCCGCAACGAGCGCAACCCUUGUCAUUAGUUGCUACGAAAGGGCACUCUAAUGAGACUGCCGGUGACAAACCGGAGGAAGGUGGGGAUGACGUCAAGUCCUCAUGGCCCUUAUAGGUGGGGCUACACACGUCAUACAAUGGCUGGUACAAAGGGUUGCCAACCCGCGAGGGGGAGCCAAUCCCAUAAAGCCAGUCGUGGUCCGGAUCGCAGUCUGCAACUCGACUGCGUGAAGUCGGAAUCGCUAGUAAUCGUGGAUCAGCAUGUUACGGUGAAUACGUUCCCGGGUCUU
rnacentral:rRNA from 1 species